GAAAGCAAAAUGGAUCUGGAGUGGCCUAUGAAAUCUGGCAAAUCUUCACCAAUACUCUAUUUCCAUUUCCUGCCUGGAAACAGCUACAUGAAGAAAUAUUUUUGACGUAAGUUUAAUUGAAUCUGUGAGUGUGGAACUGCGGAUAUGGAGGACUGACUGGAUUUAAUAUGCAAACAAGGGGUAUGUGAUCUGCAGCUGUUUUGCUCACUUACGUUCUUUCCUAGCCCAUGUAGAUAUGAUAGUUUGCGACUAGUUUCUUAGACUCUUAAAGAAAAGCAUCCGGGCAAAUAUUUGGAUUUAUUUUAGUGGUUGAAGCAUGUGAGUGAACAAGCUUGGAAACCACAGUCUUUGUAACCCAAGGAGAUCUGGGAGUUCAUCACAUCCAAACCUUCAUUUUAACAAUAAAGCAUCUGAAGCUUCCCUGACAUCCUAGGAAAAAUGAUCUGGUCAGAAGCACAGGCCCACUCCAGGGGUCUUGAGAAAAUGAGACCAAUCGGUGAUAAACAAUUCCCCUGAAAUAGCUGGGCAACUUGUAGGAACCUGUCAAACUUCUUCCUCCAGCAUAGUUCAAAUUGUAAUUGGUGGUACCUAGAACAGUUUCCAUUUUUGUGAAAAAUGGCAUCUGAUCAAUUUCCUCACUUCCAGUAGAGGCAGCCUACUAUGGCUGCAUUUCUAUUGGUCAGUUCUCAUUGGCCCACAUCUGCUUUCUUUUCCUGUGGAAAUAAAACUUACGGUCAGGAGAAAGGACAUAUUUGGUAAUGUUACGCUCCUCAGCUUCCUGCUCCAGCUGUGUCAGCUGCAAAAUGUCAAGGGAAAAAAUAUCCCUCCAACUUGGAACGAAUUUCAGACAGACCCUGAUGCCUGCAAAUUUGUCAGAGGGAGCCAAGUCCAGAAAAGCAGAACAUGAAGAAGGUUCAUUAUUCAACUUCAAGAGACGUUCAAAUAAUCAGACACUCUGGUAUUUAUGAUUUUCCCCGUUUCAGGUGGUCUGUAGUUCACAACAUUCCCCUCCCUUUACCGCUGAUUCUGAGCUUCCUUUUAAAUUAAGCCUCAACAGUUAUAAAAAGACUCUCACAUUACUUGUAAGCCGCAAGCACUACGAGGAGACACUCUGUUCACACAAGGCUGUUUGGGACUGGGGAAGGGCAGCUCUUUUUGAUUAUUAGUCUGAGGAGGGCAGGCCAGGAAAUCAGGCUCACUUCACCUUGACCGCACCACCAGAGUCCUCAUGUAGCUCCCAAGUCUGUGCCAAGGCCUCCUGCCACUCACAGCACCAAAGGCAACGAUCUUUACUAAAAAGCACUUAUUUCCGUUGGCUUUCUUAUUCAUUUAGGCAUUUCUUUUCCCGGGGUGCAGUGUGGGGUGGAAUAGCCAGUUUAUCCUGACUUCCACUUUGUGAAUAUUCCACCAGUCCUGCUUAUAAAGUUGAGUUUGGGGGAACUUCAUCUUUCUCCUGGCAUUCAGCACAUUUUCUGUCUCCUUUAGAACUGUUGCCACAUGCUGGCAAAAAGAUAAGGAAACUGAAUUUGUAAUCCAAACCUUGUUAAAUUGCUGCAUACACAUUUUCCCUUCUACUUCUUGCUCUCUAUUUCUAAAUGCCAUGCUAUUUGUUUGUACUCGGUCACCUUAAAUCCUUAUUUGGGUUCUCCAACAGGCACGAAGGCAUCCAAAUAUCAAUUUUAGUAACUGGUGGAAGUGCCCACAUAAGAAAUGGGAUGUUCAGUCUUAACAUGUGGUCUCUAUGAAUAAGGGUCUUCAUUUUUUCUUUUCCUAAACUGUCCAGCUCCUCUAUGCUGGUUUUGCUCCUCAACAGUCUAAGGUUUGUGCUACUUCCAUGGUGAUCAUCUGUUAGGUCAUAAACAUUAGAUUGUGGCAUCACUGAAUGAGUCAGUUGGGAGGAAGCUGGGCUGGAAAUACAGCUGAGAGCCACUGUUGACAGAUGGAUGCCUUCUUAAUCACAGGCUCUGUGGGUAAAGGGAAAGCCUUGCCUGGGCAGCCCCUCCCACCUCCACCCACCCCCUCCAUUGAUUCACAAACCUGGAAUACUCUGGAGGAGGCUGGGAAAGUCCAUCCCCAGGGAAUAUCACUUUUUUCCUCUUCCAUGCCUCUCACAGGACACCCACAAGACCAGGAGGCAGAACGUGAACAGGGAGGUCUUUCUUAUUACUACUUUUUGAGUGUCAGCAAGUGUGUUUUUAAAUUUCAUUACACCUGUUUUCAUGCAUUCAGUGAAAUCACUUCUUAUCCUUGGAAGAAAACGACAAGAAAUGACAGCCACGGAAUCUUCCUCUGGAUAUGGGAACAGAAAUAGCUCUCAGAAUAAAUAGUGGCCACACACAGCAUGAAAAUGUUGAUGAGGAGGAUGAUCCAAGAUGGCCAAAUACCAACAGCUCAGGAGUGCAGUUCCCAGCAAGAAUGCAGAGGGGACAUGGAUGAAUCUGGAGAACAUCAUUCUCAGCAAACUGACACAAGAACAGAAAAUCAGACGUUGCAUGUUCUUACUCAAAGGAAGCUUACUUCAGGCAAGAAAUCCCUCAGAGUCCUGAAGAUACAGCUUUUGGAACUUAGAUGAAGAAAGAAGACUCAAGGUAUACAAGAAUGGACAGUACAGAGUGCUCUGCUAGAUUCUCCUUUCAGGAAGGAAGGACAAAUUCACUCAACUUCUGGAAGCAUUGCUGGUUGAGCUCUCAGCCAUCAGACCUUUUUAGAAGUUACCCUCUUCUGAAACGAGGCACAUUGCCCAAGAUCUUUCCUCCUCCAGAAGGCAAGCUGCACCUGAAGACUGGUUGAUGUAGGACACAGACUUCGUUUAAAUCAGUAUUAACAUCAAACACAUCACCAUCAAGAAAGCUGUAAUUUUGAUUGUUUGUCUAACAGUUGGGCCACGUUUUCCUGUUUUUCAUUUCUCUUCUGAUACGUCAGUCUAUGCCAGGGGAGAAACUGGCUGAAGUUAAGGGCUAAUGUCAAGUACUAACUGAACAACAAAUGGAUGGCCUCAAUAAUGUUAUAACCUGGUUGAAAUUAUUACUCAGUUUUUUUUUUGGCAGACCUGAGAUCUAUGUAUCUCCAUUUAACACGUGAAUGUAGACCAUUUCCUUAAAAGCAAAUUCCUAUAAAAAUAUAUAUCAGAAAUGAAUAGGUAUAAUUAAUAUAACUUUUUAAAUGCUUAAUAAAAUUCACCAGUAUACUAUCAUUUUCGUUGAGAGAAGGUUCUUAAUCAUGAAUUUUAUUUACUUAAUGACAUUAUUUAAUUUUUCUUUUCUUUUUGUUAAUUUGAUUUGUUAUGGCUUCUCAAAAAUUUGUCCUUUUCAUCUAAUUUGUUCAAUUUAUUUUCAUGGAAUUGGUCACAUACUUAAUGCUUCAUUCCUUUUUAUAUAACCAAAUUUCCAUCUGGUAACAUUUACUGUGAGCCAAAAGAGCUUCCUGUAUCAUUUCCUGUAGUACAUAUCUGCUGAUUAACACUUUUCUAGGUUGACAAAUUGUAUAGUUGUCUUUCAUUUAGUUUAAAAAUGUUGUUCCAUUGUCGUCUGAUUUUCAUUGUUUCUGAUGAGAGGUCAGCCUUCUUUCUUACUAUUGGUCCCCUGCAUUUAAUAUGUAAUGUCUUUUUUUCCCUUGCUUUUCAAAUGUUCUAUUUAAUUCUGAUUUUCAGUAAUUUACUAUAAUGUCUGUUGUUUGGUAUCUGCUUAGAUUCCUGUAAUUAUG